AGAGUUUGAUCCUGGCUCAGGAUGAACGCUGGCGGCGUGCCUAAUACAUGCAAGUCGAACGGACGACUUCGGUCGUUAGUGACGAACGGGUGAGUAACGCGUUGGUGACCUGCCCCGAAGCGAGGGAUAACAGUCCGAAAGGGCUGCUAAUACCGCAUAAUUUAGUGGGAGAUUAGAAGCCUGCUAAGAAAGCAGAAAUGCGCUUUGGGAGGGGCCUGCGUCCCAUCAGCUAGUUGGUAAGGUAACGGCUUACCAAGGCGAUGACGGGUAGGGGACCUGAGAGGGUGGCCCCCCACAAUGGAACUGAAACACGGUCCAUACACCUACGGGUGGCAGCAGUAGGGAAUAUUGGUUAAUGGGCGAAAGCCUGAACCAGCAACGCCGCGUGUGCGAUGAAGGCCUUCGGGUCGUAAAGCACUUUUUGCCGGGAAGAGGAAGGACGGUACCGGCAGAAUAAGCCUCGGCUAACUACGUGCCAGCAGCCGCGGUAAAACGUAGGAGGCGAGCGUUAUCCGGAUUUACUGGGUGUAAAGCGCGUGCAGGCGGUUUUGUAAGUUGGGUGUGAAAGCUCCUGGCUCAACUGGGAGAGGUCGCUCAAGACUGCAAGACUUGAGUAUGGUAGGGGAAGGCGGAAUUCCGGGUGUAGUGGUGAAAUGCGUAGAUAUCCGGAGGAACACCAGUGGCGAAAGCGGCCUUCUAGACCAUUACUGACGCUCAGACGCGAAAGCUAGGGGAGCAAACGGGAUUAGAGACCCCGGUAGUCCUAGCCGUAAACGAUGUGAACUUGGCGGCGGGCGGGUAAAACUGUUCGGUGCCGAAGCUAACGCGAUAAGUUCACCACCUGGGGACUACGGCCGCAAGGUUAAAACUUAAAUGAAUUGACGG
rnacentral:rRNA from 1 species